rnacentral:rRNA from 1 species
CCUACGGGUGGCUGCAGUGGGGAAUAUUGCACAAUGGGCGCAAGCCUGAUGCAGCCAUGCCGCGUGUGUGAAGAAGGCCUUCGGGUUGUAAAGCACUUUCAGCGGGGAGGAAGGCGGUGAGGUCAAUAACCUCAUCGAUUGACGUUACCCGCAGGAGAAGCACCGGCUAACUCCGUGCCAGCAGCCGCGGUAAUACGGAGGGUGCAAGCGUUAAUCGGAAUUACUGGGCGUAAAGCGCACGCAGGCGGUCUGUCAAGUCGGAUGUGAAAUCCCCGGGCUCAACCUGGGAACUGCAUUCGAAACUGGCAGGCUAGAGUCUUGUAGAGGGGGGUAGAAUUCCAGGUGUAGCGGUGAAAUGCGUAGAGAUCUGGAGGAAUACCGGUGGCGAAGGCGGCCCCCUGGACAAAGACUGACGCUCAGGUGCGAAAGCGUGGGGAGCAAACAGGAUUAGAUACCCGUGUAGUC